AUUUGUAAGAUGAGGGAACACUGUGUGAUUUCGAGGUUAACGUGAUAUUUCAUGGCUUGACAGUUUUAAUCAGUGGAUUUUAUUGUGCCUCAAGUAAUUCAACGAGAAACCUGACAUUUCCGUGUUAAAAGCAAACCGAUAAAAUAUUAAGAGUUUAUCUACUUGUGCUGGGAUUGUCGUGAUACAAAGAUGUUGACUAUCGCAAUAAAACGUGACUUGCUGUUCAAAACAUUGGGUAAAACAUAUUACAAUGAAAAAGCAAAUGAUAGCAAGAGUAGUUUUGACCAAGGUAUACAUGCGUCCGAAGAAAUUAUCUACAAGAUUGACACGCCUGCCAACAGAUAUUAUCUGUUGUGCUUGGAGCCUAAGUACUGGACUACUUAUAUCUUUGAAUAAAACAUACAAAAGAACUGUAAUUGGUAAUAAAAAGCAAAACACAUAAUGCACAUUACACAAGAACUGCGUAAAGGAUGUGUGCCAGGACUCUUUAAAUUUCACUUUUUAAAUGUUCCUCCACCUAUGGCUGAAUGCAUAUAUAUAAAGUCUUUUUUCUAAACAGGAUGUUCAUCCCACAUUAUAUGGCAAUAAAACCAAAGGAAUGGAAAAGAUUAUAAUGACUUCAAGAAUUCUUAAAAAUAAGUGGACAUUUGGUUGUUUCAAUUUUGAGAGACGUUACUUUGACGCAAGAUUCUUACAAUAGUUUUAUUAAUCGUCAAGAAAAGUUGCAUCAAAAUAUAGGAAGAAGACAUAGUCUGGUCUCUAUUGGCACUCAUGAUUUGGAUGCAAUUAAAGGUCCAUUUCUAUAUGAUGCUAGACACCAUCAAAAAUACAGUUCAAACCAUUUAAUCGAGAUAAGCAGUUUUCGCUAAACAAGUUGACUGACUUGAUUCGAAUAGAAAUGGCCCAGGCAGGACUUUCUCUUUGUGCUCACGUGAGAAUGUAGCGGACAAAUUGGGAUACGAAAUAGAAGAUGUGCCGGCAGUUCACAUAUCCGAUCCAAAAACUUUGGAGUUUCAAAUAAAUCGACCGAUACCGCGCGCUCUUAUUAAAACCUCGGAAACCAGAGUUCUAUUCUUGAUUUCGCCUUUUUAUUUGAACGAUACAUGUGUGUAAUAGAACGUAAACAGAUAUCGUCGUGCGGACGUUUAAAUAAAAAAAAAAUUUGCAAAGAAUACAAGAUAUUUCUUUAUUUAUUAUACAUUUUCUACGUAAUAUACGUGCAACGCGUAGCAGUUAUGAGAAAACAGGCAGAUAGCUAUACGGAUUGAUUUGCUCUUUUUCCAUCCACUUCAAGUACAGGUACUUUGCCAAAUGGCAUAGCUGAAAAAUGAUUUUAAGCCACAUGAAUGCAACAUAAUAUUGUUAGAAUAAGAUUUAUAGUAGAGAACCUAUCUGGAUUGUCAUUAUAUAUAAGUGUGUUAUAGUGAUAAAAUUUGUAGCAAUUGUAUAUAUACAUAUUCAUUAAAAAUCUUUUGGUAAUUAAUAA
rnacentral:lncRNA from 1 species